AAAGUCUGACCUGCCCUAUGAUAAUAAAAUUAUUAAAUGGCCGCGAUAUUUUGAUCGUGCAAAGGUAGCAUAAUAAUUAGUUUUUUAAUUGAGGACUGGCAUGAAAGGUCGAACGAGAAAAAAACUGUCUCAAUUUAAAUUUAAUUAGAAUUUUAUUUUUAAGUAAGAAAGCUUAAAUAUAUUUAAAAGACGAGAAGACCCUAUAGAGUUUUAUAUUUAUUGAAAUUUAAAAAAUUUAAGAAUUUUAAUUUUAUUGUUUUUUAAUAAAUAUUUGGUUGGGGCGAUUGGAAAAUUAAAUAAACUUUUCUUUAUUUUUAACAUUGAUAUAUGAUUAAUUGAUCCA
rnacentral:rRNA from 1 species